rnacentral:rRNA from 1 species
GAACAUACCAAUUGUUGCCUCGGCGGAUCAGCCCGCUCCCGGUAAAACGGAACGGCCCGCCAGAGGACCCCUAAACUCUGUUUCUAUAUGUAACUUCUGAGUAAAACCAUAAAUAAAUCAAAACUUUCAACAACGGAUCUCUUGGUUCUGGCAUCGAUGAAGAACGCAGCAAAAUGCGAUAAGUAAUGUGAAUUGCAGAAUUCAGUGAAUCAUCGAAUCUUUGAACGCACAUUGCGCCCGCCAGUAUUCUGGCGGGCAUGCCUGUUCGAGCGUCAUUUCAACCCUCAAGCCCCCGGGUUUGGUGUUGGGGAUCGGCGAGCCUCACGGCAAGCCGGCCCCGAAAUACAGUGGCGGUCUCGCUGCAGCUUCCAUUGCGUAGUAGUAAAACCCUCGCAACUGGUACGCGGCGCGGCCAAGCCGUUAAACCCCCAACUUCUGAAUGUUGACCUCGGAUCAGGUAGGAAUACCCGCUGAACUUAAGCAUAUCAAUAAGCGGAGGAGUUUUUACCUACUUACCCCUCCCAAACCCCUGUGAACAUGCCUCUUGUUGACUCGGCGGAUCAGCGCGCUCCCGGAAAAACGGACCGGCCCACCGAGGACCCCUAAACUCUGUUUCUAUAUGUAACUUCUGAGUAAAACCAUAAAUAAAUCAAAACUUUC